rnacentral:rRNA from 1 species
AUUGAACGCUGGCGGCAGGCCUAACACAUGCAAGUCGAACGAGUGGCGGACGGGUGAGUAAUGUCUGGGAAACUGCCUGAUGGAGGGGGAUAACUACUGGAAACGGUAGCUAAUACCGCAUACCAUCAGAUGUGCCCAGAUGGGAUUAGGUAGUUGGUGGGGUAACGGCUCACCAAGGCGACGAUCCCUCGCUGGUCUGAGAGGAUGACGAGCGACACUGGAACUGAGACACGGUCCAGACAACGACGGGAUGCAGCAGUGGGGAAUAUUGCACAAUGGGCGAAAGCCGGAUGCAGCCAGGCCGCGUGUAUGAAGAAGGCCGUCGGGUUGUAAAGUACUUUCAGCGGGGAGGCGUUACCCGCAGAAGAAGCACCGGCUAACUCCGUGCCAGCAGCCGCGGUAAUAC